ACAGGAAUAGUAUGUUGAACUAACAAAUACUUUUUAUUGUAGUACACAAUACAAUAGUUCAAGUCAUUGAUGUCUCCCAGUAUACAUUGUCAUCAAUCUUGUUAUCUGAAUUAUUUUGUUGAUUCUCACCAUUGUUGAGGUUUGUAAGAUGAGUGUUAGUGUGAGUACAUCAGUAAAAAAACUGCUAAACCGACCCCAAAUUUGUUUAACAAAACAACCUCUAUAUCUAUCUCUGAACCUUCUUCUUCUUGUCUGUCACUUCUAGUCUUCCUUAAAGUCAGGCAAAUGAGUUUGCGGAUGAAUUUAAACAAACUCUUUCCUGCUUCCCAAAGCAAGUCACAAGUGUUUUGAAUGAAACAUUACUGCAGUUGCUUAACGGCAACUAUAAAGGGUCAUGUUCAUGGCUGUAAGGAUUAUGUAGGACACCACUGCUGCAGGUUAUCUCUUUAGUUUUCUUCAUAUGAACAUAUUUGCCUUGUAAAACUUUAUGGUAACUAUUAACAUUUGCUUAUACAAAAACUGAACCUGAUCUUCUGAUUGGUCAAAGAUUUUCAGCUUUUAAUUCUAUCCUAUAUAAUAAAACAUUGUAGGGUUGUGAUAACAUCAUUGUUGACUUCUGCUCUACAAGGCUGUCUGGUGUAGAUCACGCAUAUAAAAAUGAAGGCAUCCAUUUCUCUUUACCUGUUUUUGAGUCUCUGUGUACUGAGCUCUGCUCUCCUUAGAAAACACUUUUAUGUGAAUAAAGAACUUUACUGGCAAGAUGCACAGAAGUACUGCAGGAAGCAUCAUGAUGAUCUGUCCACCGCUAACAGUCAAGAGGCAAAGCAGCUCACUGUGAGGUUAGUAAUCCAGAAUUCUGGGUUGGACUCAACACUCUAAACUCAACAGAAUGGGUUUGGUUCGGAGGUGAAAAAGAAGCAUUUGAUUAUUGGGACAGUGGAGAACCAAACACGAAUUAUGAGCAUUGCACUGCUAUACAGAAAUUAACCCCCUGGGUUCCAAAAACACGGCGCCACGUUUUGACGCAUUUUUUCCUCUUCAAUGUGAAAUCCACUCAAAAUACUCCGUCAUUCAUAAUCAUACACAUAUAUGUAAUACAUCAUUCGAAACUGUGAAGUGUCUACUUUAAUGUGAGUGCCUUCAUAACAACAACAAAACCUUGUGCUUUUGGCAAAUAAAGAAAAUAAACAUGGAGUGCAUUCAGACAUCUCUGUCUCCUCAACCAUUUUCCUCAAAGACUAUAAACAUGAACUGAUAACUUCGCCAAUACUUGUUACACGAACAUGAUACAUAUGUCUAAAGAAAGCCUGAAAUGUCUACUGUUACAUGAUGUAAUUAAAAUCUAAAGAAAUUAUUGUCCUUUUGUGUAAUUGACAUGUAAGUAAAGAGUGGUACAGUUUUUCUGGCUCAACCUCAUUAGCACUAAUGUGAUCCCACCUACCACGUGCGCACCAUUCAUAUGGAAAUUACCUGAUGGGGCUAUGCAAACAAGAUCACCGCCCCCAAACAAUGCUUUAAGCACCAAGUUUUAACAGUUUCAUUCACUUAUCAAUGCGCUGGGAAGAUGACACGCUUUACAGGUGAGGAAGCUCUACAGAUAAUCCUGGACAGCGAGGAAGAGUUCACCGUUUCCUCAGACGAAGAGCAGGACUUCGACGAUGAACGUUUGUAACUUAAUCCAGCUGAGGAUAUAAUUUCUGAAGAGUAAGUGGUUGCAAUCAAUUCACUCGCAGCAACGCGACGGACAUUCAUACAGGGAAUGUGUCUGCAACACCAACUUCAUCUGGUACUCGCACGAGGGCACACAGCUACGCAACUGGGAACAAUAAAGUAAAUGAAUGCUCACGGGAUGCAACAAAUGCACUCUCAAAGCAAUCUGCCAGGGUCUCAAUCAGAUGGAUUUGGAAUGGACCUCUACUCUUUGUUAAGUGGAUGGACACACAAGAGGUGUCUGUCUGUUCAACUAUACAACCUGCUUAUACAGAAGAGACAAUGCAGAGGAGGGUAAAGUCACAAGACGCAUGGAGAACAAAGACAUUUCCAUGUCCUGCACCUGUGACUGCCUACAAUCAACACAUGGGGGGGUGUUGAUCUUUCUGAUCAGAUGAUACAGUACUACAAUGCACAGCAUAAGACAAUGAAGUGGUACAGAAAGAUAUUUUUUACUCUUCUUGGACAUUGCUGCCACCAAUGCCUUCAUUGUGCACAAGGAGCUAUGUGGUAACAUGACCCACAAACAGUUCAUGGAACAGCUCGUUGUAGAGCUCUGUGGCAUAACACAUAGAGCAGACAAGGAGUACCCAUGUGCCAGUUCCAGUAGCUCAGCUGACUUCAGAUGUAAGCAAUACUGCCACUGUUGGUCGCCGGAACUGUGUGCGCUGCAAGACAGUGCAUGGUAAAAGACAGGACACACCUUGGAAAUGCAAAACAUGUAAUGUUCCAUUGUGUGUUCAGUUAAAUAGGAACUGUUUUGAACAAUGGCACGACAACAUUUAACUCGGUAACACACAGUAACAAAGAUUUACGGUGUAUGAUGGUUUACAAAUGUAUAUCUUAUUUUUUAUAUUGUUAAGUAUUUUUAGAUGCACACCAAACUGUACAUUCACAGCUGACAUUUAGAAUAAUUUUCUUUUAAUUAGAGCCAUAUUGUACUGGUCAUAUAGAAUACCGUUACAUG